AAAGACUCGAGGGAAAGUUAGAGAAAGAAAUAGCACGAGAGCGAGAGUUGCACAAGGAAGAAAACGAAAAUGGCAAAGAAUAAUCGUGGCGGUUCUCCUGACCUUCGUCCUUCAGCUCCUCGAGCAAAAGUUACAAGGUCUUCAUCAGAUUGUGGUGGUGGUGGUGGAAUUCCAACGAAACGAUCUAAUCAUCCCCUAGGCCCAGUAUCUUCUGGUACUAACCGAAAAUUUGAUGAUAUAGAUUCAUUGUUAUCUCUUCAUAUAGAUAGAGGGAGGAACAACUUUGACGAGGACGAACGUAAACCGUCAAGAAGAACCUUCAGUGAUAAAGCUGAUUCAGUGACAUCUGCAAGACGACAUGUGCUGAAAAAACCAAUGCCCUAAUACACAACUGGUGGAAGUCGUUUUGGUUAAUUCAUUCCUGUAGGUGGGAAUAACCAAAUGCUUGGUGCCAUUAAAGUAAUCAAAGUGUUCCAAAUGCUUCGGGUGUUAGAAAAGAAAUUGAUGGUAUCAAGCAAGUUUCUAGCUGGUCUGAGCAAGAUAAGGUAUCUAAAUCGCUUGAUCAACAACCACAUGUGGUUCCACCUGUCUCGACUGAUGGAGAAUGUUCUGGCGUCUCCAAGAGGCCUAUAUUGAAUCUUCUUGCUAGAUGAAAGCCUGCGUAUGAGUUGGAAUUUUCUGUUUGGGAGCGUGAAAAGGUAUGAUUUUGAUUGGUUUGAAUUCAGGGAUACCUCGAGGUAGAUGAAGCAGCUGCUACUAAGUUGCAUGGAAAUGCUUUUUUUAAAGAGGAAGAAACUGCUGCAAAAGAAAGGAAAGGUAACCAAGGAGGUAGUAAAGCUGAUGCUGAGGAGUGCUGGCGUAGAGGAGAUUGGCGUAACUCUGAAAAGCAGCAGCAGCAGGAACCAAAAGCCUGAGCCAUAGACCUGGCGGACGCCUGUAGAGCAAUCUAACCCUGUAUAAGAAUUUGGAGUUACUGGUUUAGAUUUAGUAAAGGGAUAUUACCCUACAUUUAACUGAUACUAAUGGAAGUUUAGAGAGUACAAGAACAAUGAACUCUUUUCUGACAAGCGCACAUCGUUUAGAACAACAAAAUUACAUCAGGUAGUUCAGCUAUGAGUUAUACCGAAGCUCAUUUGAGUGGAGCAAUGGGCUAAAUUAGUCGUAGUCGUUUGUAGGUUGUUGUCUAGGACAUCUAUGGUUUACUUUGUGACACUAUUUAGAUUGUAGGUAGUUAAUGUAUAAGGUUGUGAAUAUCCUCCGUUAUUUCUGCCACCUCCUCUUGGGGACUGAACAGUUGAAACAUCAGGUCUCUCAGAUUCACUAGAUGUUGCCACUGAGUUGU